UACGUAGGGGGGCUAGCGUUGUCCGGAAUCAUUGGGCGUAAAGCGCGUGUAGGCGGCCCGGUAAGUCCGCUGUGAAAGUCGGGGGCUCAACCCUCGAAUGCCGGUGGAUACUGUCGGGCUAGAGUCCGGAAGAGGCGAGUGGAAUUCCCGGUGUAGCGGUGAAAUGCGCAGAUAUCGGGAGGAACACCAAUGGCGAAGGCAGCUCGCUGGGACGGUACUGACGCUGAGACGCGAAAGCGUGGGGAGCAAACAGG
rnacentral:rRNA from 1 species